UUGAGCUACAGCUUUGUCUUUCUUGUUUACCGGACACUUCUGUGAAGCCAUCUGAAGACACCUGAUGCCUCAGCAUUGCAGUAAUCAUCAAGGUGGAAAAAUGACAAGCUGUGCAUUCUCCAUCCCUGGAGAUAUUCAAGACUGGAUAAAGCUAUGAGCAAUCUGGUCAGAUCUUCAGCCAACCCUGAUUUGAACAAGAGGUUGAUCCAGAAACCUCCAGAGGUGUCUUCCAACCAGAACUAUGCUGUGCCCAUUGCAACUUAAGGAUGGUGUGGUGUUGCCUCCGUGCUUAGCAGAAUAGCAACUUCUGGCCUUUAUUUCAUGGCCAGAGACAAGUAUCUCAUCUCUGCUGAAGAAAACUCUGUCAUUUUUCAUGCUUCACCAGCAAGAAUUGCUGGGUAUGGCUACAGAAGCAGCUCAAUCCCAUAGUGCAAGACUGAUCCACAAGCAUUUCCAGUUAGCUUAAAUCAUGAGCUCCUAAACCAAUGAGUGCUGACACAUUGCAUUGUGAGGAGAUAAAUUGUGGCUGAGCAUUUAAGUGAUGAACAGAAAUUUCUCUUAAUCUUGUCAUAUUCCCUUGAAGCCAGUCAUGAGUUACAACACAGACUAAUCCCUACUGCCUGUCAUGCCUCACCUUAUGAAUAACCCAAACAUACAACUUUGCUUCCAGA